UGAUGUCACAACGUUGGCAAUCCGAUUGGGCAGUGUGAUGGUAUCACUGAGGACAGUCAGUUGAGUGAGCAUGAGCAAGCAAUGCUUCCUAAAUUAGACAUUUGCAUAAUUCCUCCCAGCCCUCACUCAGUGAACUGGAUGAUAUCACUACAGCAAGGGGUAUCUAGCGUGGUGCGCUCCUGAUGUUGUUGGACUACAACUCCCAUCAUCCAUGACUGCUGAUCACUCUGGCUGGGGCUGAUGAGAAUUGUAGUCCAACGCCAUCUGGUGGGCACCUCAUUGGCUAGCCCUGUGCUACCCUGUGCACACAAUCAGAAUUGAUUUCAGGGUGGGAUCAUGGAUGGCAAAUGAAGCAGGAAAAGACAAUAUGAUUGAAUGAAAUAUUUUUGCUGGGGGUUUUGUGUGUGUGUGUGUGUUUAGCAGUGCUGAAAACAUUCCCGGAGAACAGUGUGCAAUUUCUGCUUAGCCCUAAUUAGUAUACAUAUAUAUGCUGGCAUUGUUUAAGUUACCAAUUACAGUGAAGACUGGGAUUUAAAAAUGAUUGAGUCUAUUUUUUUUUAAGAGUCAACACAUUGCAUAAUGCUUUUCUUUACCACUUCUGGGUUUUGGGGUUUGUUUUUUUGUUUUGUUUUGUUUCUUUGCAAUUCAGCUUCUUCACCACCGCAUAAACACCUCGCAUUUAUAUAUUUCAAAGUAUAAAUCAGUUGUAUUACUUUUAAAAAAAAUAAAUCUCAACUUGACACACGCACUAAAUUCCCAUUAAUGAAAAUGACAGCUCAGCAUGCCACUUCCUGGAACAAAAAAUAGGUUCCUAAAUAUACCAUCUAAACUGUAUUGUAGCCAACUGUAUCAAGGCUUCCAAAGUGAGCCCUUGCUACUCACAACAUAUCCCCAUGAGAAAAAAUAUCAGAUGUAUCCCAUUCUCACUUUUCCUACUUCUAGUCCUGUAAAGGAUACAAACUUGGCAUGAUGGUGGGGUUUGCAUAUCUGUAGCUGAGUUUAAAAGACGUAAAUGAAACCUGUGUAAAAUGUUAACUGGGCUCAUAAAGAGGUAAAGGUACCUCUGACCAUUAGAUCUAGUCGCGGAUGACUCUGGGGUUGCGGCACUCAUCUUGCUCUAUAGGCCGAGGGAGCCGGUGUUUGUCCGCAGACAGUUUUUCUGGGUCAUGUGGCCAGCAUGACUAAGCUGCUUCUGGCAAAACCAGAACAGCACACAGAAACGCCGUUUACCUUCCCACUGGAGCGGUACCUACUUAUCACUAUUUAUCUACUGAGCCAGUGUGGUUAAGAGCGGUAGACUCAUAAUCUGGUGAACCGGGUUCGCAUCUCCACUCCUCCACAUGCAGCUGCUGAGUGACCUUGGGCUAGUCCCACUUCUCUGAAGUCUCUCAGCCUCACUCAUCUCACAGAGUGUUUGUUGUGGGGGAGGAAGGGAAAGGAGAAUGUUAGCCGCUUUGAGACUCCUGAGGGUAGUGAUAAACCGGGAUAUCAAAUCCAAACUCUUCUUCUUCUUCUUCUUGAUGUUGGACUGUAACUCUAACUGCUAGGUGGGCAAGAGCUGGGACCAAACAAUGGGAGCUCACCCCAUUGUGGGGAUCAAACUGCCAACCUUCUGAUCAGCAAGCCCUAGGCUCUGUGGUUUAGACCACACUGCCACCCGCGUCCCUAACUGGGCUCACAUGUAGCCAAAACCUGCCUCCUCUUUGUGUGUGGAUGAUGCCACGGUUGGACACCCCUCCCCUGCAAUAACAGCACAGUGAGGACUGAGCAUGCUUAGAGGGCACAGAAUCCUGAGUAUUUAUUCUGGGGGAAAGGGGGGGGGAAGUGAGGGUGGGAAGGGGUAAUGUCAUAGAGUGUUCUGGAAUUGGGCAGGCUGGCAUAAGCUCCAGAAACACUCCGCACCACAGCCUUAUGUUACAGGUCCCACUUGCAGAACUCUUGUUUCCCAACAGAGUGUUUCAUGGGACCUUCAUAGCAAUACUAUUGAUCAUCAUCAGUUAGGAAUGCUGUUCUUUCUAGUGCUGUAAAUCUCUUCCCCCCAAAAAAGGAAGGAGGGAAAUCUCUGUUUGAUCAUUCCAAGACGAUCUCCUCUGCUGGUCCCAUCACCUGAGAGGGUCUCUAGGGAAGAAGGCAGUCUUUCAGAUUUUUGAGACCCAAGUCAAUUAGAGCUUUGUGAGUACUUUGAAUUGGUCCUGGAAAUGAACCAAGCUAGACAGGCCAGUGGGCAACUUCCUGAGUUCCUAUUUGCUGUCUUAUUUUUUCCCCCUUUUACUCUUUUAAUUGCACAUCACUCUGCUCUCUUUAGGUUUGACAAGCAGAUCAUAACUGAUUGUAAAUUGAAAUAAAUAUAUUGAGGACAUUCAUAUAAUUUUUAUUAAAAUGUUUGCAAGCUACGUAUUUAUUUUGGGUGACUGUUGCCAGAAUUCCUGACCACUGGCCAUGCUGGCUGGGACUGAUGGGAGUUAGAGUUCAGCAACAUCUGGGGAGCAUAGGUGGGCCACUCCUGAUUGGGGGUGGGGGUGCCUCACUGCUGCCUCUCUGCAUAAGAUACCAAUAUUGCCAUUC